rnacentral:rRNA from 1 species
GCAUAUCAAUAAGCGGAGGAAAAGAAACUAACAAGGAUUCCCCUAGUAACUGCGAGUGAAGCGGGAAAAGCUCAAAUUUUGAAUCUGGCGGUCUCUGGCCGUCCGAGUUGUAAUCUAGAGAAGUGCUUUCCGCGCUGGACCGUGUACAAGUCUCCUGGAAUGGAGCGUCAUAGAGGGUGAGAAUCCCGUCUCUGACACGGAUCCCAGUGCUUUGUGAUGCGCUCUCGACGAGUCGAGUUGUUUGGGAAUGCAGCUCAAAUUGGGUGGUAAAUUCCAUCUAAAGCUAAAUAUAGGCGAGAGACCGAUAGCGAACAAGUACCGUGAGGGAAAGAUGAAAAGAACUUUGGAAAGAGAGUUAAACAGUACGUGAAAUUGCUGAAAGGGAAACGCUUGAAGUCAGUCGCGUUAGCUUGAGAUCAGCCUAGCUCUUUUGCUUGGUGUAUUCUCUUGUUGACGGGUCAGCAUCAAUUUUGGCUGCCGGAUAAAGGCAGAGGGAACGUGGCACCUUUCGGGGUGUGUUAUAGCCCUUUGUUGUAUACGGUGACUGGGAUUGAGGAACUCAGUACGACCUUCGGGUUUGGGGCUUCGGCCUACAUUUCGUGCUUAGGAUGCUGGCAUAAUGGCUUUAAUCGACCCGUCUUGAAACACGGACC